AUACGUUUUAAUGAACAAGCGGUAAGCUUUUUAAAAGUUUAUGCAGCCGGGCUACAGCAUGUAGCAGCAGCGUGUAAAAAGACACACUGUGAGACAGUU
rfam:Marinilactibacillus sp. 15R, complete genome.